GGUGGUGUGAAGAUGGGCGUGGUGAUACGAAUAAGGAAGGCCCUUAUAGGCUAACAUAUUUGAAUGCUUAGUCAUCUUGGAGCAGCACUGUUUGAGAAGGAUUAGAGGGAUGAGGAAGUGCGGCCAUGUUGGAGGAAGUGUAACAGUGGGGUGUGCUGUGUGGAUCCGGAUGUAGAACUCUCAGCUAAUUCUCUAGCACCAAGUAUCGCUGGAUGCUACCAUGCUCCCUGCCAGGAUGAUAAAGGACUAAGCUUUGAAAGUGCUCAUUUUAUGUGUGAACCUGAUUCUCAGCGUGGGAAAAAUACUAGCACCAAAUGCACGAGAGAAACACACCAAGGAAUUUCUGGUGGUAUUC
rnacentral:lncRNA from 1 species